rnacentral:rRNA from 1 species
UACGGGGGGGGCAAGCGUUGUUCGGAAUUACUGGGCGUAAAGCGUGCGCAGGCGGUUUUGUAAGCCAGAUGUGAAAUCCCCGGGCUUAACCUGGGAAUGGCAUUUGGGACUGCAAGGCUGGAGUGUGGCAGAGGAGACUGGAAUUCCUGGUGUAGCAGUGAAAUGCGUAGAUAUCAGGAGGAAUACCGAUGGCGAAGGCAGGUCUCUGGGCUGACACUGACGCUCAUGCACGAAAGCGUGGGGAGCAAACAGG